GACGAACGCUGGCGGCGUGCUUAACACAUGCAAGUCGAACGGAAAGGCCCUGCUUUUGUGGGGUGCUCGAGUGGCGAACGGGUGAGUAACACGUGAGUAACCUGCCCUUGACUUUGGGAUAACUUCAGGAAACUGGGGCUAAUACCGGAUAGGAGCUCCUGCUGCAUGGUGGGGGUUGGAAAGUUUCGGCGGUUGGGGAUGGACUCGCGGCUUAUCAGCUUGUUGGUGGGGUAGUGGCUUACCAAGGCUUUGACGGGUAGCCGGCCUGAGAGGGUGACCGGCCACAUUGGGACUGAGAUACGGCCCAGACUCCUACGGGAGGCAGCAGUGGGGAAUAUUGCACAAUGGGCGGAAGCCUGAUGCAGCAACGCCGCGUGCGGGAUGACGGCCUUCGGGUUGUAAACCGCUUUCGCCUGUGACGAAGCGUGAGUGACGGUAAUGGGUAAAGAAGCACCGGCUAACUACGUGCCAGCAGCCGCGGUGAUACGUAGGGUGCGAGCGUUGUCCGGAUUUAUUGGGCGUAAAGGGCUCGUAGGUGGUUGAUCGCGUCGGAAGUGUAAUCUUGGGGCUUAACCCUGAGCGUGCUUUCGAUACGGGUUGACUUGAGGAACGUUUGGGAGAAUGGAAUUCCUGGUGGAGCGGUGGAAUGCGCAGAUAUCAGGAGGAACACCAGUGGCGAAGGCGGUUCUCUGGGCCUUUCCUGACGCUGAGGAGCGAAAGCGUGGGGAGCGAACAGGCUUAGAUACCCUGGUAGUCCACGCUGUAAACGGUGGGUACUAGGUGUGGGGUCCAUUCCACGGGUUCCGUGCCGUAGCUAACGCUUUAAGUACCCCGCCUGGGGAGUACGGCCGCAAGGCUAAAACUCAAAGGAAUUGACGGGGCCCCGCACAAGCGGCGGAGCAUGCGGAUUAAUUCGAUGCAACGCGUAGAACCUUACCUGGGUUUGACAUGGAUCGGGAGUGCUCAGAGAUGGGUGUGCCUCUUUUGGGGUCGGUUCACAGGUGGUGCAUGGCUGUCGUCAGCUCGUGUCGUGAGAUGUUGGGUUAAGUCCCGCAACGAGCGCAACCCUUGUUCACUGUUGCCAGCACGUUAUGGUGGGGACUCAGUGGAGACCGCCGGGGUCAACUCGGAGGAAGGUGGGGAUGACGUCAAGUCAUCAUGCCCCUUAUGUCCAGGGCUUCACGCAUGCUACAAUGGCUGGUACAGAGAGUGGCGAGCCUGUGAGGGUGAGCGAAUCUCGGAAAGCCGGUCUCAGUUCGGAUUGGGGUCUGCAACUCGACCUCAUGAAGUCGGAGUCGCUAGUAAUCGCAGAUCAGCAACGCUGCGGUGAAUACGUUCCCGGG
rnacentral:rRNA from 1 species